rnacentral:rRNA from 1 species
GAUGAACGCUGGCGGCGUGCCUAAUACAUGCAAGUCGAGCGAACAGACGAGGAGCUUGCUCCUCUGACGUUAGCGGCGGACGGGUGAGUAACACGUGGAUAACCUACCUAUAAGACUGGGAUAACUUCGGGAAACCGGAGCUAAUACCGGAUAAUAUAUUGAACCGCAUGGUUCAAUAGUGAAAGACGGUUUUGCUGUCACUUAUAGAUGGAUCCGCGCCGCAUUAGCUAGUUGGUAAGGUAACGGCUUACCAAGGCAACGAUGCGUAGCCGACCUGAGAGGGUGGUCGGCCACACUGGAACUGGGACACGGUCCAGGCUCCUACGGGAGGCAGCAGUAGGGAAUGUUCCGCAAUGGGCGAAAGCUUGGCGGAGCAACGCCGCGUGAGUGAUGAAGGUCUUCGGAUCGUAAAACUCUGUUAUUAGGGAAGAACAAAUGUGUAAGUAACUAUGCACGUCUUGACGGUACCUAAUCAGAAAGCCACGGCUAACUACGUG